UUUUCUUCUUUUUUUCAGCAUGGAAUAAACCUAUUACUUGAUCCUAAAGAGAGCUCUAUGCAAUCGUGUAUCCUCCUCCCCCCCGACUCCACACCCUCACACGUGUCGUGCAUCAGCACACCAACGAUCGUUUCUGCUCUUUCAUUACAAGCGAAUAAAGCAAAUAAGUGCCACGUUUGCUGCCGUUUUCCAGAGGUAAUCUGUUUUGAUGCUAUGAAUAGGACGGUUCUUUCCUCUAGUCCUGUUGAGACUAGAGACUGGAGGCCCGGCCAGCAGGAGGCGGCGAGUCACGGUCUUCCAAAUUUGAGAUCAUCGCGAAAAGUUUCGCUUUUUCUCGUGAAGUCUUUCAAAAGCUACCAAGUGUACGAGUGUUUUUCGGUUCAAAAAUGUUUUCUUAAGAGCCAGGUAAGGGGUUUCUUCUCUCCCCGGGAGGAUAAUACAAUUUUCACAGCGAGUUAACACAACACGGCUGGAUGCCUACCUUAGCUCGUAACCUGACCGAAAUUUCAACCCAGUCCCUGCUGAACCCGAGCUGUCUGCGCCUUUGUGGUCAGCAGAAUUAAAGGGCUGUACAAGUGAAGAAAAAACACGGAUUCGUGGGUUAAAAAGACAGGGUUUACACGCGAGACCUGUUCAAUUCCCUCAUAACCGCAAAAUAACGACGUCCCAUCGAAAGACAUAAAAGCUGUUUUUAAACUGCGCUUUUCGGUUUCUCGGAUUUUUUUAAGAAGCCAUUUAAAGCCAAGACGUGCUCCAGAGAGAACCCUGCUUUAACACAAACACGGGUUUUGGUUAUUGCACGUCUGAAAGAACAGGCUGGAAUCGAACCGAACAACUGUGCAGCCAAAACAGCUGCACUAUACCGGAUUUCUCAAUUCGUACAACUAUGAAAGCUGCUGGUUCUGUUUUAAUGCAUUGUUUCUCUCUACAGACUCGAAGUCACAGGCGAAAGUACAACACGCCUACUAGCUCCAGUAAAUUGUUACAGGUCUGAGUCCAGACUGAAGAGGUGAGGGAUCUGAUUUGACGGCAUCGACUAGUCAGCUGGAGAUGAAGUAGCUGCAUUUCCUGUGCAGAAGAGCGGUUUCUAUUGAACAGUGAGAAGAAGGAUGUGACAGAUGGGUAGACUUGAAGAUAUCCUCUCUUGUGGAAACAUCCUGUACUUUGGGCCCCUUGGACAGAGGAAAGUGUCAGGACUGCCGGCUGGUGGAAGAGUACAAAAUACAGGGUUGGACUUUGGAGAAUUCUGUGGCCAGCCUCAGGAAUUGACACUGAUUUCAGCUGGCUGGUGUUUGUGUUGAGAUCAUCCUUUUCACUUUUACUACUGUUUGUCAUACAAUAAAACAAUAU